UGUUGUUCUAGGAAUCUGUUAGACAGAGAGAGAAAAAGAAAAAUAAAAAUGGGGCAGUGGCACAUACAAUAACACUAACAUGGGACGCCCUUGCGGUCCUGGCCUUGAAACCACUCAAUACUUCAAGGAGAUCGUACUGCGUUAGCUGUAAGGUGGUAUCUCUUUGCUCAGCUUCUGCCCCAGCCCCACUUGGGCGAAUGUGGUGCCGUCAGGUGGAAAAGAUCUGGCUGGGAAUGUUCUCGCACCUGGAUAACGUUAGACGGGGAAACGUGAGCGUGUUUCACUUUCACGAGAAAUCAGUUCUCCGUCGGAUCGUUUCGAUGGAAUCAUAUUUCGAAACUUCUGUCCUCUUUCUUCGAGUAAUUAGCCGGAAUAUUGGCAAAAUUUCUAAGAGGGGGAUACUCUUUUUUGGAAGAAAGGAAGAAAGAAGGUAUCUUAAUUAUCUGUUCAAAGAUGAUAUCAUCCAUCAGAAAACUGAUUGUUAUUUAUUGCUUAUAUAUAAAGCGCAAUAGGUAUUGUAAAAAAUUUGCAUGGCUUUUUAUACUUAGCUAGGCUUGCGCAUCAGCGAAUCUCGAAUUUUAUAGUCCUAUUAUUAUUCCGCUAUCGACUAAUAAACUAUA